UGAUCUAUUAAUUUUUCAAUUAUGUAUGUUC
rnacentral:piRNA from 1 species